GGAAUUUUAAAAUAACGCUUUAUUGGCUGUGUUUCACUUGUGUAUUAUGCAUGCUUAUUUUAUUUUACUGCAUAUGGUGUGUACUGUAAUAUUAAUUGUAGUGCCCCUACUAGAUGUUCCUUAUGUAUAUUAGUUCCUUGUAUAUUAGUUGUAUUUGUUUGAGAAUGUACAUUGACCAUCUGAUUUUAUUUUCUUACAGUUGCUGAUGGACACAUUGUAUUAAUUGACCCUCCUGUAACAGCACGUCCUGCCACAGUUGUAACUGAUUAUUGUCUUCAGCCGCCUGCAAAGGAGCUGUAUGUAUAAGGACCAUCUUCAAAUGCAAAUGAGACAAAGUGACAUGGAGAUGGACCUUCUACAACUUCAAAUGGAGGAAAAAAAGGUGAACAUAAAAAAGGCCAGGCUUGAAACUGAAUUGCUGAAACACUGACUAACGGUAGGCAAAGUAUUUGCCUAGUGAUGAUUAUUCUAUCAUUUAUUGUUGAACGUUAAAGCAAUAAAUACAAAUGUUUUGUUUUUUUUUGUUUUUCAAUUACAGGAAAUAAAGAAACAACCACACUCAACUGUUUAUUUUGUGCAUUAGUCUUUCAAUUAGAAGUGAUUUUGGCAGCUCACGUCUCGCACCAUCCUGCUAUCUCUUUAGUCCACUGGGUUAACCGGGGGUUCCUCUUGAUCAUCUUCAUAAAGAGCAGGGGGCCUCAAAAUAUUCUGGAAUUGUGUACAGACCCUCACACCUUUUAGAUUUUUCGAUAUUUAAUCAAAUAAACUAUCAAAUCAUGUGUAAAUAUUGGCAUGUAUUUCACUACCAAAUGGGCUCAUACACAAAAUAUACCAUAAUUUAAAGCUCAAUAGCAUUUGAAGGGAAUGACUUUAAGAGUC
ensembl:lncRNA